UACAGAGGGGGCAAGCGUUGUUCGGAAUUACUGGGCGUAAAGGGCGCGUAGGCGGCCUGUUAAGUCGAACGUGAAAUCCCCGGGCUCAACCCGGGAACUGCGUCCGAUACUGGUAGGCUUGAAUCCGGGAGAGGGAUGCGGAAUUCCAGGUGUAGCGGUGAAAUGCGUAGAUAUCUGGGGGAACACCGGUGGCGAAGGCGGCAUCCUGGACCGGCAUUGACGCUGAGGCGCGAAAGCCAGGGGAGCAAACGGG
rnacentral:rRNA from 1 species